UAGGGAAUCUUCGGCAAUGGACGAAAGUCUGACCGAGCAACGCCGCGUGAGUGAAGAAGGUUUUCGGAUCGUAAAACUCUGUUGUUAGAGAAGAACAAGGACGUUAGUAACUGAACGUCCCCUGACGGUAUCUAACCAGAAAGCCACGGCUAACUACGUGCCAGCAGCCGCGGUAAUACGUAGGUGGCAAGCGUUGUCCGGAUUUAUUGGGCGUAAAGCGAGCGCAGGCGGUUUCUUAAGUCUGAUGUGAAAGCCCCCGGCUCAACCGGGGAGGGUGAUUGGAAACUGGGAGACUUGAGUGCAGAAGAGGAGAGUGGAAGUCCAUGUGUAGCGGUGAAAUGCGUAGAUAUAUGGAGGAACACCAGUGGCGAAGGCGGCUCUCUGGUCUGUAACUGACGCUGAGGCUGGAAAGCGUGGGGAGCAAACAGG
rnacentral:rRNA from 1 species